rfam:Ictidomys tridecemlineatus contig049377, whole genome shotgun sequence.
GGGGCCGUAGCUCAGUGGUAGAGCACUUGUCUUGCACAUGUGAAGCACUGAGUUCGAUCCUCAGUACCACCU